rnacentral:rRNA from 1 species
UACGUAGGGGGCAAGCGUUGUCCGGAUUUAUUGGGCGUAAAGAGCGUGUAGGCGGCCAGGUAGGUCUGCUGUGAAAACUCGAGGCUUAACCUCGAGCUGUCGGCGGAAACCAUCUGGCUAGAGUCCGGAAGAGGAGAAUGGAAUUCCCGGGUGUAGCGGUGAAAUGCGCAGAUAUCGGGAAGAACACCCGUGGCGAAGGCGGUUCUCUGGGACGGUACUGACGCUGAGACGCGAAAGCGUGGGGAGCGAACAGG